rnacentral:rRNA from 1 species
GAUGAACGCUAGCGGCAGGCCUAAUACAUGCAAGACGAACGGUAAGUUGAGUAGCAAUACUUAGCCAAGAGUGUCGUACGGGUGCGUAACACGUAUGCAACCUACCCUAUACAGGAGGAUAGCCUAGGGAAACCUGGAUUAACCCUUCAUAGUAUUAUUGGAUGGCAUCAUUUGAUAAUUAAAACUGAGGUGGUAUAGGAUGGGCAUGCGUCUGAUUAGUUAGUUGGCGGGGUAAUGGCCCACCAAGACGAUGAUCAGUAGGGGUUCUGAGAGGAAGAUCCCCCACACUGGCACUGAGAUACGGGCCAGACUCCUACGGGAGGCAGCAGUAGGGAAUAUUGGUCAAUGGAUGCAAGUCUGAACCAGCCAUGCCGCGUGCAGGAAGAAGGCCCUUUCUGGGGUUGUAAAACUGCUUUUUGCCAGGGGAUAAAAUUUCCAUGCGUGGAAAACUGAAGGUACCUGGUGAAUAAGCCACGGCUAACUACGUGCCAGCAGCCGCGGUAAU